GUGCAAUGAAGGAACCUGAGAGAAGGAAAAGGCCUGGGAGGCAUCAGGUGGCGGUGGAGCAACUGUGAGAUCAACGUAGUUCGCAAUGCAGUUUACAUCUUCGCUGCGGCGCAUUAUAUCGAUAAAAUCCGUAUCGCAUACGAUUAACAUCGGGAGUGCCGUUUAAAGUAUCGCGCGAGUAAUAAAUCGUGUUUUCGUGAGUGAGUUUGUGUAAGUGAGUGAUUUGUGCAAGUGCAAUGAAGGAAUCUGAGAGGAGGAGGAGGCCUGGGAGGCAUCAGGCGACGGCGGAACAACCAUGAGAUCAACGUAGUUGGCAAUGCAGUUUACAACUCCGCUGUUGCGCAUCGUAUCGGUAAUUAGCAAGUCGCCCUCCUCCCUUUCUCCCGAACGACACGUUUGGAGAAUCGAUUUUACAAUGCGGAAUUUUCGAUGAUAGCAUCCGAUCGAUGAAACAUGCCGUCAGCAGUUGAUGAAUCUGCGCUUAUGCUUUCCCCUUUACGUUCCUGGCGAACGAUCGAAUGACCUACUUGCUAAUUGUCGGUAAGUGCGCCCACGCUCUAAUUAACGGCAAAGACUGAUAUAGCAAUUAAAUAAUUCAUAACUGACCUACGACCAACAGCAAAUGUGUAAAGUUAAAGUAUCAGCUUGCAGUUGACGAAGCGCUUCGAGAUUCAGCCGAUGUGUUUUGCAGAAAAAAAUCUUAAUCGAGAACUGAAGUCUCUUUCAACUUUUAAACGCUCUUUUGCACAUUGAUGUUUCAAUCAAGCGAACUGGAGCGAAUCGAAAGCGACGGAGGGCACUUGCGGAAAACAAACACGUUGUCACGUCGCGAGAACGACGAGUAACAUCCGCCGCUGUUGCAUCAUGAUUACAUUUACAACUGACAGACUUAUAGGCGAUUAAAUGCAUCAAAUGCGGUUUCCAAGUUCAAACCCCCAAUGCAGGAAAGCGAGCUAACAGGAAAAUCGUUCGGCUAUCCCGUGCUGCCGGCGAUGUUAAUCGCUUUAACAGAUGGGACCGUAUGCUAUAAAUGAUGCACGACCUCGGUCGUAUUAACCCGCUCGUUUCGAGUUUCAUGGUUUUCUUUGCGGUAGAAUAAAAAGUUCUCUUUUUAUAUAUAAAAAUGAUCGGUCGAUGCAAAGUUUGUCCUUGUAUUCACGGGUUAAUGACCGCACAGAGAGAUUCUUACAUCUGACUAGCGAUUAUAAACAUUAAUAUUAAAAAAAAAA
rnacentral:lncRNA from 13 species